rnacentral:lncRNA from 1 species
UAUCUUCAGGUAACAAAAUGCUCACUUGUAUAGAACACUGAUUAUAUAACGAAGGAGGAAGAGCACUAACGGGGUAAACUGGGUUUGAAGUCGAUGGUAAGCUGAAUUGGCACCAAACUGCCAUCAUCAGAAGUUGUUGCCAACACAGCCCUUGAGUCCCCAGCAUUUGCUAUAACAAGGUGUUCGCCCUGCAGAUAACAUUGGCGAAAAAUUUUAGGCUACUUCUCGUUCACUUUAUAAAUUUACUUCUGCUUUAGGAAACUUUUUAUUUUGCGUUGAAGUCAUCUAGAAAAAUAUAAUUAAGAUAUUACGAGUGAUGAAACAUUAAAUUAGCCAAAAAGAUAAAGAGUCCCUGAAUAUGCCACAUCGAACAAUGGAAAAAAGCAAUUAACCUGUUUAAUGAUUGUUAAGGCUGUAGUACCACUGCAAAAGGCAUCGAUGUCGGGAUGCUGCUUAAGUUCCUGAUCAAUGGCAGCAUAAGUCUUCAUAUACGACUGCUUCCAAAUAUCAAACUGAUGAUCUCUAUCCAAUUCAAUUUUGAAAUCCAUGUCCAGCGAUGUCAGUGCAAGUGUUUUUUGCCAAUUACACAGCAAAGAAGAAGGAACAGAUUCUUUAACCCUUUUGGAAACAACAUGUCCCCAUGGACCAUGCCCAUCAAAAAUCCCACAAAAGAUAAUGUCCUCUUGGCAUCCAAAUUCCUACCAAAUCAAAAACAAGCCCGAAAAACUAAUAUUCAAUUAGAAAGACCAAUACAUCACUUGAUAUGGACUCUAAUUAGAUUGGGACUGAGGCUAAGUUGAGUCAAAUAAGGAGCAACCUCGAAGAGCAAAAGCAACCGGUACAUGAGCAAACUUUUUCUAACUUCUAUGAUAGUCAGCCUAUAAAUAUUUAAAGUGAAUUGACAUACCUCCCACACAAUCAAGCUAUCUUGAUUGAUUCCUUUCUGCCCUCUCUUGGAGCAGACGGAGGCAAAAUUAUUUGAUCUGUUGGACUUGACAAUGCCUGAGGAACUCAAUAUCAACUCGCUCUUCCUUGCAUCCUUUGCCAAAGCUUCUGCAGCUUCCUUUCCAACAUCUUUUUGGGAGUUCUUCCCUUUCUUGAUUGAUACUGACCUCGCUAAUCCAUCAAAAAGAGACGGAAAAAGCACCAUUGCUUUCGCUACCUAAAAACAAUAAACAAAUUAAUAAAGCUGAUUUACAUCUAUUAAUAUUUCAAACUUGAAAUAAUCUCAUUGAUUUUCAGUAAAAUCAUAAAAACAAACAUACGAAGUGCAUAUUCACUUUCUCCUAGAGCUAAUUUAGAAUUGGCUUCAUUAAUCAAGAAAUUCAUAAGAACAAACAUACAGAACGUCCUUCGUUAUCUAUAUUAUGAAAUUCAGAAAUUCAGGAUUCAAAAUAUAAUUGUUUUCACGUGACUGCUUUCACUGAGUUAACACUCUAAAAGGUUUCAAACUCUCUUCUUUUGUAUUCGGCUCUGAAAGUUUUUCAACCAAGCUAAAUCCAGCGCAUGAAAUCACCACCGACUGAAAAAUUUUUCAACAUAAGGGAAAAAAAAAAGUUUACUUCCAAGAGAAGCAAAAUCAAAGUUUGCUGGCUACAUAUGAUCGAUCAUAUCCCAAAGUCAAUAAAAGAAAAGGAAGCAUAGAAAACCUUGUCCUUAAGCGACUUGGUCCACAAAAAGACCGAUUAACUUCGCCGGAGCAUCCGAGAUAUUACGUCACGACGGCAAGCAAAUCUGUCGCUUGGAUAUUCAAAGGCUUCUUCUCGUCGCUUGUACUCCAUUUCCUGUCAUCUUUCCAGCUUUUCAAGUUCUUAAGUACGUGAGUAAUUAAUGUAUGGCUUUACAGUAAGUUUGGAUAGAGUAAAUGACUAUUAUGCCAUUUAUAGGCUGUCUUAGUAUGUGAAUGGGUUGUGUACAUUUUAGACAUUUGACUAGGCCACUACACGGUUAAAAAUCCGUCUCUUUGGUCAGAGUAGAGUGCUCUCGCACCACAUACACUGAUACACUAUCUAUCCAUCUCUCUCUCUCUCUCUCUCUCUAUAUAUAUAUAUAUAUAUAUAUAUUGAAUUCAUUGUUUAUAUUUAAAAAAGAAUUAUAUACUUAUAAAUAUAAAAUAUAUUAUUUUUAAUACACUUGAAAUAUUUUAUAAUUUUUCUUGCAUCACAGCCGUGUUUAGUUUAGGAUACAAGAUUAGUACAAGGUAAUGUUAUUAUUGUUGUUAUUAUUAUGAUCUACAUAAAAGUGGGUCAAAAUCUAAGGAACUGAUUUGCUUGACAAGUGGCUGUGCAGUUUACGUCAUCAUUAGCAUUAUAUUUUUUAAAGUUUAGUACAAAUAAAUUUAAAAAGAUAUUAUUAGCAACAACAAUGAAAUUGCAGAUAUAAUAAAUAAUAAAUAAAUAAAUAAAAAGUCGGUGAAGAGCAUAUAUAAAAUAGGCAUAUGAUAGGGAAAGAUCGGUUCAUAGCGAUUACAAUAAGAUAUUUGCUUGGUUGUAAGAGAACUACAAUAAAAUUAUAUAUCUUGAAGAGCUGUCGAUUGCAACAUGAUUAAAAUAAAUGUAUGAUUACGAAAAGAUGUUGAACUAAAAACAGCUCACGAUGAUCCCAACCAAACACAUGGGCUGAAUUUUAAGGAGUCAAUUUGGGGGACCAUGGAAUUAGGGAUUAGGAUGUGAAACAUUUUAAAGAUGAUUAUGACCCCAUGAUUGCGAUCAACAUUAUAGGCCUAUAUCCAUAAACAGCAGAAUAUUUGUACCUUGAUGGACAUGAACUGUCGUGUCUGGGGCCAUAAAACACAUGGACAAGUAGCUACUCUUUAAGCAUGGAACUUAAAGCAUCAAUGAUAAGAGACCCUUGAUUUAACACACACCAUUCACACGCAUCCAUGUAGAAAUUUUAAUUAUACGAUGAAAGAGUCAUCCGAUCUCAUAAUCUAUUAAACGAUUGGAUGCUUGUGAAGCAACUAUUAGCAAAGAAGGUAUAUUGUGAAUUUGGUACAACAGUGCUCAUUUUACAUUUCGCUUCUUUUCCAUUUUCUUUUUCCUCUUUCUAGUAUUAUUUGCAAAGAGAAAAAAGAAAAGAAAUUCAGCAAAUCAAUCAUUACCUUGCAAUUGCUCACCACCAGAAGGUAAAACGCUCAUUCAAACGGCAUUUACCUCCAGGAUGAAAAACACUUUACGCUGCAGAUAAAUAAUUAAAAUGACCUACACCUAUUGAGUGAUUAAUAAAAAACUUGGGAAGCAUAAUAUUCGCUCUCAUUAAACACAGGUCUUAAAUCUUCCUUGCACAUGAAAUCCAAAGGGUAAGAAACAAGAUGUCCACGGAUUGCCUGCAAUCUCCCCAUAGGAUCAGUUUGCUUCAUGUCUCCAUUUUGGUACGAUUCAAGCUUUUCUGGGGCCAUUCCCAAAUCAAUGGUAGUGUGGCCAAGUCUAUCCUUCCAGAAGGCCAUGCUUUGUCUAAGUGCAGCUCUGUGAGUAUGUGAAUAGUUACAACACACUAAAUUGAUUGAAAAACAUUAGGGCGAAAAGGGGGGAAAUGCUAUAUAGAGGGAAUCCAUACCUGGAAUGUAUGAGAUCACUGGGAAUGCAAGAAAAGACAUCCUGGUAGAUGGUGGUAUUUGUCUGUCGAUUGAAUCACCAGUAAAUGAUUGUUAAUUUGAGACCAAAUUCAAUACAAAUGCAAUUCACCAAAUUAGUACUUGAUCUGGGGUUCAGACAAGAAGGAGUUUUUUAUGUGGCAAGGUAGGUAGAUCUACCAUAUAAUUCUGGUCAAACUGUGACCAGAUUAGCCACAGUGGGUCAGCCAGAUGCAACCGGGCUCUGGGCCUCUUAAAGUUAAGAAAGCUCAGCCAAAUUGUUCUUCAGAAUUUUAAAUCUUCAAAGCAUUGUUCUUCUAUACGUAAAAUGAGAACAAAAUUAUUUCCCCCCUCUUUCUAGCCACAGAAAGCCAUAAUANNNNNNNNNNNNNACACAAAAAAAAAAACUCUCUCCACUAAGUUCACUUUUGAAGCAAACUUCUAUUUACAAAAAUUUUGGGCUUCAAAUAAAUUACGAUUCUUUCUGCUUCUCACCUUUGCAGUCGCGACCCACAGGUCUUUGUAAGUUGAAUCAACUACUGGGUCUAUUAUUUGAUUCAUCUGAGAUGAUAAGGAAAAAGAAAAGAAGAGGGACUACAUUAUCAGCAAAACUGCACAGGCUACUGCAAUACUAUAAUUUACCCACAUUAAAAUUUUUUUCAUUUGCUUAGCUGUAGAUAUUUCUAUAGUUAGGUAUACUGACCUCUUUGGCAUGAAGACCAAGGUGUUCAGACCACAAAGAAAGGCGAAGACUUGAAGAAAAUUUUCCAGCUUUCCAAGGCUUCCCUCCCAUUGAGGAUUCAACAAACUCUUUGUCUUCAAUGAGCACACCGAUCUAGAAAAACAGAUUUUGCAAUAACUCAGAAGCUGCUCCACAAGUCUUAAAAGACUAUUCAUUAGAGACAAAGUGAAACUUACAAAAGCCUAUAUGUUACACAGGGAUCAGAGAAAAGUGGGUGGCAAGAAAAACAAUAUUGCCAUAUGUAAAUUUCCAGUGGAAAAAAGAAUGUCAUCAGUUAAUGAAUGCCAUGUGCAAACCAAAAUGGUAGCAACCCAAAAUAAUAAUCAAGACCCUGGAAAAGAUGUUUUUGGUUCAUAGAAUCCUCGUAAUUUUAUUGAUAGUAAGAAUGUUAAUAUUGUCUAAGACGGUUCCUUGAAGAGAGUAAAUUUGCACAAUGUCAAUUUCAAUGUCCUCAAGGUUCAGUAGAAACUUGUGAAAUAUAAGCUCUGAAAUUGCCAUAUGUUGUAAGCAAAUUUAGACUAUGAUCAAAAUUUCUUAACCAGUUGUUUCAAAAGGACCAUGAAAUAAGUGAUACCUCUGAAUCUCGCGAACCAAGUAAACUCCUGUCGUUGAUAUUAGCAGAUCCAAUCAAAGUUGCAGAGUCAUCAACUAUCAUGAUUUUACUAUGCACAUACACCUGCAUAUUUGAAUAACAAUAUGAUUUGACAGGGACUAUGGGAACUUACUGAUUAGUGAACCUUAGUACAGAACAUGACUAAGGUGUCCUAAAUUUGAGCCAUGAUGCAGAAAAACAGCAUUUGCCAAUGAACGAGGAAUCAUAAUAACUUAUUUUCUAAAAUGAUGAAUGCCUACAAGCAAAUACCUGACUGGUGGCCACUGGACCACCAUCAAAAAGUCGGCCAUAAGCUCUAAGACCGUAAAAGGAAAUGUAAUCAUGUGUUUUUGGACCAAGAACAUCGUAAAGAUUAUGCAAUAUUGAAUUUUGUCCUCUGCAAAUGGUUCGAUAUUGCCAAUGCAUUAUGGCUCUCAAAGAUGCAGCACCACUAUCAUCCAAACCCCCCUGUAAAACUAAUCAGUAAGCAAAAAAAAUUACAUGCCCAAAAUUUAAAUUAAGAGGAAGUAAUCAAGAAUUUGAACCUGGAAACCAGGAAUAAGAGGUAUGACAACAAUAACCCUGAAACACUUCUUCUCAUUGUAUGCUCGCUUUAUACGAUGGUAUAAUGAUUCUAAUACACGAUUCCGUAUAGUGUCAUCUGCUGAAAGACCUGAUAUAAAAAAUUGAUUCUACACAGCCCAAAAGCAUAAGCAGAAGUCAGAAAAAAGGAAGAGAAAAAUAGAAAAUAUGCCAAGCCUCUGUGACCUCAAACCCUAAAACACUCCAAUGAGGAAAACUUAAAACCAACAGAAAUGUGUGAGAGUGUCCAUGUUGUGCAAGAUUAGUGUUUAAAGUUACAAUUACAUCCAAAGAUUAUACCUCAAUAUAUAUAAAAUGCUCUGCUUUUUCAAUGAGAGAGCAAUAAGCAUGGUGAAUACUCUCCUCAAUUUGACUUGUUCCAGCAGACCACUGGCUCACACUCCUUAUCACCUGAAAAAUGAGGUGACCAUUGAAUGCAGCACACAGACUAAAUUUUAUAGAUAAACAAAAUGAGUGUUGACUAGCUCCAUAACAGUAAAUGAAAAAUUAAUUAUACCCUGGUCUGGCAAGGUGAAUACCCACCCCGCAUGCAGCACACACAUGUCAAUUUUUCACCUAUUAUUUCAUUUUAAGGAUUUUGGAGGGGCAAAAACUAAUAUUCUAGUUUCGCCCCUGCAAAAAAUAUUUAGCACAAAUUAAGUUGGAUAAGGUCCCAUAAGAGGAGUAAACUAUUGGUCCCAGCCAGGGUGUUGAGACCAUCAGAUAUCUCCUUAGCAGUUGAUUUUUAAUAUUAGACCAUGAUAAAAAAAUCCACCUGACAACAGCAUGAGGUACGUGGACCAACUUGACCAGUUUCAUCUCCAAAACCAAUCUGAUCUCCCCGCUCUUGAGUUUCCCACCACUCCAAAUCUGAAGCUUUGGUGCCAGUCUGUGGCAGUAGAUCUGAUGACAUCUUCUCAUGAAGAUCCAUAACACCAUGGUCAUCCACAAAGCCUUUCAUUGGCAUAUCUGGAACAACAGGUUCAACUUUGGAUUUCCGAAAUCCAAGAGAGAGACUUCUGCCAGGAGUGGAGUCACACCUAUUUAAUUUUGGGCCUCCACCUGAAACAUCUGGCCCUUCAGCUUCUUGAGGUAAAAGUAGAGGGAUAUCUUGUAAAGAUGAUCUAGACGAAAAAGAAUCCUGCCUUUUAAUUCCUUCACCAUUAUCUUCAACGCUCUUAAUUUCAACCUCCAACUCUUUGCUGUUUCCCCUAUAGUGUGGAAUAACCAUAUGCUGCUGAGGCAUAAGUAGUGGAAUUGCUUCCUCAUAAGGAGCUUUAUUUCUCUGGAAAAAUGCAAAUUCUAAUAUUACAAGAUUGCCACAAAUGAUAAUACUGAUCUGAGGUAUUAAUUGACCUUUGCAUAGUUCCAACGCUGAACAAAAUGUCUAGCUACAUCGCGACACGGUGGUCCCCAUAGUGCACAGUGGAUGUCAUGCCAAGGCAUUCGAGGAUAUUUUCCACGAUCCAGUUCAUCUUUCAUCGUAUCCUCCCAUGAAUUAGGUUCAGAUUCCCUGACAUGUAAAAAUUGGAAGUUCAUUUUACUUAUAAUAUGCAAGCAUACUCCUUAUCAAUUAUGCAGCUCAUUGAUUAGAAUCAUUGACACCUUAGAGAAUUUUCAGACUCCCAAGUCCCAACCUCCCUGCACAUAAGUUUUUUAGUGCCUCGGUAAUAUUGGACUAGUAGGUCAUAUUCUCUCACUAUCAAGGCAAAAAUAAAAUAUGCUAAAAGCUCAAAACACCAUGAAUUUAUAUCUCUUUGAUUGAGUAUGAUCCUUCAAAUGCUCAUGUUCAGAUAUUUCAUAUAUUAAUCUUGAAUAAUUUUCAUAGCACAUCUUCAAAGAUGAUGUGUGAAUUGAAGAACAAGAACAACAAUCAACAGCAAUAGAUAUAGGAUAAGAUCAAAAGUAUCGUAGCAGAUCACUCGAAUUUGUUAUCCACAACAUUGACAAAUGUUCAUUCAAUAUUCUUCCAGAAAAAAUUAACCUACCUUGGAUUAUAAUAAUCCUUCCCAGGCCAGACAAGAGGAGGGCAGUCACCCACUCUAUGUUCACAUGUGUCAUAACGGCCAAAGCACAAAUCCAGUCCUCCAAUAAAGCAAAUCUGAUAAUCAACAAUGACAAGUUUUUCAUGGUGGGACCUAUAAGUAACCAAACUGUAUAUCAGAAACUGAAGAAAUCUACUCUACUAAAGAAAAUAGCUAACAAGUUGGUGGUUACUAAAGACUGUUAAAAUUUCCAACAGUGCAUACCAGAGGUAAACACCACUAGAGAAGUGGUCAGGAUAACGCAAAACUCUCACAUUCUCAUGGAUGCUAAGAAGCUUUCUCUUGCUAUAUACACUGUUGAUUUUCAAAGCAAGAGCCACCUCCUUAUAUAGAAGAAUGUAUAUCUGCAGUAAUGAGAUUUACAUUAAACUAAUGUAAAUCACUGAAAUCCAAACAGAACCAGAAAUGGGACCCUAACAAUCUAUAUGAAAGAGUCGAUGAAGUUCGUAGUAGCACAAAGUGCUGAAAAAUCUUUUCUACCAUUCCUCCCAAAGGUCAACUCUAUUUUGCCAUCAAUAGAUUAUGAGUAAAGGAUUCAUGUCCAUACAAAGGAUUCACAACCCAUUAUCUCAAUAUAAAUGCUUAAUCAAAUUACUGACCAGUUUUCUCAUACAAUACAUAAAAAUAAAUGAGCUAUUUUUUAAACAAUUGCAGCAGAAACAAUGUUAAAAUAGUAAAGAAAAUAGCAAGUACCUGAACUCCUUGCUUUGCCUUGGCUUCCAGCAAAGAAUCAAGCCUAGAGGAUGCAUGCGCAUGAAAAGGACGUCGUAAAUAAAGUUCUGGGCACAACCACCAGCCACAAAUAAAUAUCUGCAAAAAAUUUUAAAAACCAUUAAGCAUCACGAUAACUAUUGCCUAGCACACCUGAAUUAUAUGUGAUUGAGCUGGAAAAGACAGACCUCUGAUUUAGCAUCCUCGAUUGAUGAAGCAAUAGCACUGAAUGCUGCCCUACCAUCUACAAACCAUUGAGCCUGACUACCAUCUUCAGUCAAACCCCUAGGAGGAGCAAAGGAGCAAAAGCGAUGAGGAUGACACCAACCUUCAGGAGGCCUAAGUCCAGCAUCAUUAAUUGCAGCAACCCAAUCUUUAACUCUACUACCAGUCUUUGUUCGUAAAUUUAUGCUCCGAUUACCACAUGUGACCUUCAAAGCUUAAAAUAAUCUGUUAGCAAGUGCCACAAUCUGAAUUGUAUAGAUAGACAAUCACUCAAAAAAAUUAAUGUGUUCAGUGGAAAAGGUAAUAAUAAGAUACAUCACUAACUAGAAAAAUUUACACAGGUAUGGUACUCUGUGCAUUAUUUUCUCUAUUGGAAGGUCAUAUAAGCCCUAAACCAAUUGUUUCAGAAAAGAACUGAAAAAAUCAGAGAAGGUUGAAAAGAAGUGAAUCGAUAUCUAAUUAAGUGAAUGGAUUUCAAGAAGUCAGUUCCAUGGCAAGAAAGUAAGUCUAUGAGUGUCAAUUAUCUUGUGAGUAAAAUCUUGUUAUAUACUUCCAAAAUUACUCAUAUCUUGAAUAAACAAGAGAACCAAAAACUUCCUUCUCAACCAUUUUAUAUGUGGUCUCUCCCAUAGCAAGAAAGUCUCAAUCUAUGAAUAUCACCUAUAUAAUUAGUCAAACAUUAACAAAUAGCAAGAAAGCAUGGCAUCAGCAAAUAGAUUGGUAACUUCAGCUCCCACAUAUCAAAAAUCUCUUCAGUUCAACAAAACCAGCAGAUGCUUAAACCAGGAUACACCCAUAUCAGCAGAGCACUAGGAAUACAUUGUCAUUAAAAUUUUAAGAUGAAGGCCAAAAAGAAAGUUUAAAUGAAUCCUUGAAUGGCAGUACAACAUAGAGAAAUUAUCUACCAGGGAAAGCAGGUGCUCCUUACCUUAAAUGCAUGACGUAAAGGAUUGCGUUCCUUUGUUUCUCCUGCUAAUGCUAUUCGACCAUCAGUACUACCAUCUGAAGCUGGUAGUACAUCAAAAACAAUUAUAUCCAGAGGUUUGGUAUCAAAAGGAUCGGCCAGCAAGGCCAAGAAUCCAGGUUUCAAUACAGCCCACACCUGCACAAAAUCAUAAGACCAGGAAACUAGCAUGAUUUCUCUUAUCAGAGAAUCUAUAGAAAGCAUAGCAGUCUAAUUCUUCGUCAUAUAUGAGCCUCCCCAAUCACUUUGCUUUCAUGACCGAAAUUAUUCAUAACUAAACUUCUACAGAGAAAUCCAUAGAUUAUUCUGGACUAGCUCUUUUAUGUCUUACCCAAUAGGAGAUUUACUUUUCCUAAAAAUAUCAGCCUAAGUUGUACCUGUUAAAUUUGGGCCAGACCUAACUCACCCCAAAAGCUAGCUAGUGCCUAUGGCCCAUAUAAGGGGCACAUUACCCCUUUACACAACCGAUGUGGGAUUCAACACACCCCCUCACACCUAGAAUUUUUACUCGUGCGUGGCACAUUUAUGGGGCGCCCAACAUCGGAUGGGGAGGCUCUGAUACCAUGUUAAAUUUGGGCCAGGCCUAACUCACCCCAAAAGCUAGCUCAAGGGGGAGGAGUGCCUAUGGCCCAUAUAAGGGGCACAUUACCCAUUUCCACAACCGACGUGGGAUUCAACAGUACCUAUUAAAACUGUGUUUUAAAUAGAUGUAUAAAGAAGAAAUGUUUUUAAAUAAUCUUUAUUAUAUUUUUAAAUGCAAUUAUACAAAUUAUAACAGUAGGACCAAAGGUAACCACCUAAAUUAUAAAAGGAGAAGGUAUUGGAGAAAUCCUCAUGUAGACAUGUGCAUCUAAAUUACACUUUAAUGCAAGAGCUUUGUGUACAUAUUCCUAGAAGAAUAUUCCACAAUAAUUAUUCAGAUUUUUUCAAAAACUGAAAAGUAAUGAUUCAGCACCACAUAUCAGGCUUACAAGGUUGCAAUACCUUCUGCCAGUUGUCAUUGCAACAACUAAACCAGUGACAAGCACAACAUUUCCUAGAAUCGUCAUUCCUUGGAAUUUUUGGCAAGUGCUUUGCCAUAACAUAGUCUUCUUUCAGCUUAGGACCAUAUUCCGGAGAGAAGGACAAUUUAGAUACCUCCAAGAAUUUGCAAACCUACUUUCCAAUUUUUAAGGACAUAUAUCAAAAACAACAUGGUUAGGGAGAAAAAUAGGGAAAAAGUCCAAACGCCUAGCAAUCAGCUAUCACAAAGCAUUAAAAAUUCAGAAUAUGAAGGUACAAUUACUGAUUUAACAAUCAAUCAUUUUGAAUUAUCUGCAUGCAACUUUGCAUAAUUUAUCAUCACAUGACACAGGUGGAGAUAAUAUCUAUCUAAACACAAACAGCAAUCAGAGCCUUCCCUUCCAGAACGUUUAUAGAGCUAAACUGAGCAGCAGCUAACAAGUUAAGAGAUGCAACAGUGAGAAAACUGGAGCGAAAAGGCAUGCUUAAAAAAAAUUUUAAUGGCUGAACUUCACAGAAUCAUCAAUAACAUGGAAUCAAGUAAAUAUGACAUCAAAUUUGCAGUUUAAAUUGACUGUGGUUCAAUAAAAUAUAAGUGAAUCAUAUUAAGCAAAAAAAUAAAUAUAAAAGGAAAAAUAAUGAGCAAAUCUGAUAGAGUUAGGAACUUAAUCAAUGGCUGCAAGAGACAGAAAUGGAGAAAUAUUUGUAUUGAGCCUUCUAUUAAUCAAGAACUCAAUUCCAGGAGUACCUCUCGACUAACAAUGUUAGCCCAGCCUAAGCAGAAAGAAGAAGAAAAUACAUACCCCCUCUCUCCUCACACUAUACUUAUUUAUACACACCCUCACCAGCUGUCCUCCUGUCCUUGUAUCCUAGAUUCCUGGUAACUCUGAUUUCUAAUAUUCUGCCAAGUGUCCUUCUUCAUCAAAUUCCCCAGCCCUUGCCUUGUCGUUUCUGAAUCGUUUCCUGUAAUAGACCCUUAGCGGAAUGGCUCUUGGGUUUGGGUUUAAAUUAACAAUGUUAGCCCAGCCUAAGCAGAAAGAAGAUGAAAAUACAUACCCCCUCUCUCCUCACACUAUACUUAUUUAUACACACCCUCACCAGCUGUCCUCCUGUCCUUGUAUCCUAGAUUCCUGGUAACUGAUUUCUAAUAUUCUGCCAAGUGUCCUUCUUCAUCAAAUUCCCCAGCCCUUGCCUUGUCAUUUCUGAAUCGUUUCCUGUAAUAGACCCUUAGCGGAAUGGCUCUUGGGUUUGGGUUUAAAUUCUGAUCUCUAACAAAAUCUAGAUGCUGAGGCAAGUUUGAGCAAGAUGGCAUUAAAGUUAAAGCAGCACAAUGGCUUCUAAAUUAACACUUCUGUUAGGCUACAGAUAUGGAAACCAGUGUACACUUCUGUUAGGCUAUAUUAUCUAAUGUCAUUUCACCCACUUAAAGAUGUGGCCACAAAUGUAUUGUCCAAAAUUACUUAAUACAUAAUUUUUAUCACCAAUUUGCAUUCAUAGAACACUUGGAGAAAAGAAAAAGAAAAAGGAAAAAAAAAAGAUGAGCAUUGCAAACUUGAAAAAUAAAGAGUCUAAGCAUUGAGCAUACCUCUCGGGAGUUGACAAUAUCCAAAUUUCCUAGAAAGUGAUUCAAAUAUUCUUGCAUUGCAACCUUUGCUCUGGCUGACAUGGAAUGCUGUCUCCCCAAGGCUGGACGAAUAACUGGCAAGGCAGCACUUGAUGGAACGUCUCUGAACAAAAAACCACCCCUAAGAACUAUAAAAAUUACAAGUUUAUCACAAAGAAUGACAAAUUGAUGUUUGUGUCCUCCUUAACAUGUAAGAGUACUACCUGUUUUUAGCACUUUCAUCGUUAUGCAAGGGAAUAGUCUCGUCAUCAGGAUCAUCAUCAUCUUGCACAACUGGCGCAUGAUCUCCUAUUCCUAGAUUUUGAAGCCAUUCUUUAACCUUUAAUAUAAUGUUCCAAUAAAAGCAUAUCAAAACCAGACACCUUUCAAACAAAUGUAAUUGAUAAUAUAAAAAGAUAAAAUUCAAUUAUGUGAAACCCAAGACAUGAAAAGCAGAUGGACGUCAUUUUGCACACACCUGCUCUUGCUUCUCAUGAAUUUCUUCAAAAAAAGCCCGUCUCUUUAAUGCAAAGUGUAAAUAGAAUACUUGUGCUGCUUUCUUCAAUAACUGCCACUUGAACUGGUCAGGAAAAAAUGCAACGGAUUAACAAUUUUCUUUUAAAAAAAAGAAUGCCACGAAUUCUCACCUUACGAAUUUUAGAAGCACUUGAGAAAAUUUUAACACGUAUGAUCAAUUCAUACAAUGAAGUUCAUAUAGACAAAUAGAUAAUAGCAAACAUAGUUGAUCGGGGGGGAAAAAACAAAAGAAAAACAGAGAGAAAGGAAAUGACACUUCACAGAGAAGGCAAUGAUGACGCAAUUAUGGACGCAGCUUAAAACCAAAUAAACUUGAUCAAUUGUAUUGUUUUUAGAAAGAAAAUCCUAUUGAAUAGACUGAAACUGAUCACAAUCGUCUAGAAUCAUCGAAAUCUCAUUUUCAAUUCACUUCCAAAAAAUAAUACAAUAUAUUCAUUAAUAGGGAAGAAAAUGAGAUUAAAGAGAUGAAUUCUUGCCUGCUUGUAUUGAACCUCGAUGGUAUAAGAUAAAAGCACUGGGCUAAUAUCGCCUGCAUCAGGUCUAGACACAGAGACGAUGGUGGCCGUCGGUAAUUCGUCGAAAAUCCGAGUGGCCUCCGGGGGAACGCCCUGCGUGAAAGAGAAGAAUGACGACAACAUGGACUGGUGAUGCUGUUGCUGAUGAUGCUGCGGCGUCGACGGUUCUGAUUGCAUUUGGACGUAUCGAGGACCACCACUAGUCCCGCCGAUAAACUGAUCCGACGAAGCCAUUCGAUAAGGAAUAUAUGAUAGGAUUCAGUAGUCUCGUUAAAUCCAAUGGAGAGAAGGAGAAGAUUGAAGUGGUUUUGGAUGGAUUUAAUUAAUUCGGAUCUAAGAAGAUGGAAACUAAACAAUCGUCAAAUCUGUAAAGUUUGAGAAGGAAAGAAGGUAGUUUGGCUUCAACUGGAAGUGGGAGUUUUACAAGCAACACAGGCGACGUCAACUGUGGUUGCUUUGAAAUUGCCGUUUUAGAUGUGGAUUAUGGAUUGUCCGAUUUUUCAAGGAAACGGAUCUGUUUUUUCUUUCAUUGAUUAGUGCGUGAGAGUGCGGUCGGAUAUAAAAAUUUGCUUUAAUCUUCAAUCUGACCGGAGAUAUAUGUAAUAAUAUGUUACAAUAUUGGUGAUUCAUACUAAAGUUUGAUUUAGGCCGACUCUCAACCAACUACCAUUCAAUUUUAACACCAUUAUCCUGUUAAAGCCAACUACAAAUAAAAAUGAACAUUAGCAUAACCAAUGGAUUAAUCCCAUAUAUAUGUACACCGCAUAGUUAAUAGAAAAAGAAAGCCUUUACUAGCAUACCACAUGCAAGAAUCGCAACCAGAUUACCAAUGAGAACAAGUAUGCAAAAUUGAUAACCCAUUUGUGGCCGAGUUUUAAAACAUUUUGGAAAACAUCAUUUGCUGAUAGAAUAACAAUUUACUUGAUUAAAACAUAAUAGAUUUUAAUUUUUUUAAUGCCUUAAAAUAUUAGUUGCGGAAGCAAUACCAUAAAAUUUCAUUAAGCCAAUAAAGCGCCGGCAGGCAGCAAGAACAUGCCACCUUUUUAUUUUUCCUGCACCUGCUAGAUUGAACACACAGGUUGAUAUAAAAUUUAACCCUUAAUAACUUUGAUAGCUAGAGUUACUACUACUUGGGCCUUAUUUGGUUAGAGUAACUUAGAUUACUACUACUUAGUCCUUAUUUAGUUGAAUGAAAUAACUCAUUUAAAAAAUUUAAAAUUUCUAUAAAAUAUGAAAAUUAUUUUUAUUUAGUUAACAUUUUUUCUUUUAACUUUUUAAAAAAUUAAAUUACAUACUUCUUGAAAAGUUAAAAAUUAACUUUCAAGGACGUACAGCGUGCUGCCAUCACCAAGGCCACAUCAGCUCCCAUUGAUGGAAGCUGAGACGGAGUAGGUGGCACUAUAAAUACGCUCUAGAAAAAAUGGCAACAUCCAACAAUCUGAAUUAAAAACAUCGACCUAGUAGAUCAACUUCAAAGUGAUAGUCAUACAAUCAAAGCACCCAACCAGGCAUAUGCAAAAGAAAAAUUUCCGGGCCUUUGGUCAUUCCAAGUCCAUCACCCCUAAAAAUACAGGAGGCCUUUUUUUCAUCCCUGAUGCCACUGGAUUUUCUAAAUAAAGUUCCACUUGUGUUCACCAAAAGAGAAAACAAAGUUAAUCUCCUCGUGUCCCAAUUGUCAGUUCCAUAAUGUUUGGUAAACUAAUUUAUCAAAGGAAAAAACAGAUUCAACAUAUAUGCAAAGGAACUACAUCUAGUGGAAUUCUACACUUCGAAUAAAUUGAAGGUUUCCCUAAAACAAAAACAUAAUAGCUUUAGGAAACAAGCUCCUAUGCCAGAUAUCAGUACGAGCAACUCAGCUAUCAACCUCCAGCAUUCAACAGAGUCCAAUCACUUCUUAGGUUUCUUCGAUCCCCUGGAAAACCAGAAAAUAUAAAUUUUGUACAUUACAAAAUGGCAAAUACAACAAAGUCGCUAGGCGGCUUACUCAGCCUGCUGAGGGGCAGGUGCUUGUGGUGCUUUCGCUCCAGGUCCCUGUGAUACAAGAGAAAAAAUUACAAUCCACAAGUAGGCACAAAAGAAUAUCAUGUUUGCAAUGAUUAAACGACAUUUUUCAAAGAUAAACUGCACCAAAAUUAGCAUUAAAAAUUUUUAUCCAACCUGUGCCAAACGCUCCUCUCUUCUAGCAAUUUUUCUCUCCCUGCUUGCCUUAUUCUUAGCACGCUUAGCCUCAAACUGGUCAGACAGAGUCUUCUCUCUUGCCUUUUCAGCCUUCGAUUUAUGGAUACUUUCCAUCAGAACUCGUUUGUUCUUGAAAACAUUACCUUUCACCUUCAUGUACAUGUCAUGAUACAUGUGUUUGUCAAUUUUUUUUGAUUCCCGGUAUUUGCGCAGCAGGCGCCUCAGAACACGCAUUCUCCUCAUCCAGAGGAUCUUAGUUGGUAGCCUAGCUUCUCUAGUACCCUUGCGCUUACCUGAAAACAUAAAGAAGUGUAUCAUAAUUCUUAUCACUACCACGAGGAAGUACUGCAACCCAUGAUUCGUGCAAGACAUCUAUAUUCAAGUGUAUGUUGGUCGUCGUUUUGAUAUGGGCAUGAAAUUACAUCCAACUGAACCGACUCACACAUUUCAAUAUGAAGCCAUACCAUAUCCAGAGUGACGACCCUUUCUCUUGGCCUCCUUCAUUCUCCGAGCACGAGAACGUGAGUGAAUCUUUGUUGGUUUCCUGAUGAUGAAACCAUCCUUCACUAGCUUUCUGAUGUUCUGCCCUGAAAUCAGUAACCAUGACAAACAAUUACAGAAUCAUGGAAAAGAAAAAUAAAUAAAUCUAAAAACAACUUGCAAUAUUAGCCUUCAAAAGAUAAAAAUCAUUCAAAAGACCAGAUGUUAGAAAAAAAAAUCUCAUAAAAGUUGAGCAUAUGAAAAGAGCCAUAGAAUAGAAUAAAUCUAAACAGUAAGACACAUAUGCCCGAUCUUGCUGUGUGAGAAACAAACUGGACUCAAUUAAUGAAACAUUUACAAUGGUUAUACAUGUCAGUCUUCUAAAUGCUGCAUCCUGGGUUAUAGAGUGAGAGAGAAUUAUUUCAGAUAGUAAAGUAAAAAAAAGAUAAAUCAGAGACAUACUUCCCCAUAAUUUUCUACUUCCUUCAAAUAUUCAGGCCUUUUAACUUAUACAAAGCCCUCCUAGAGGUCACAUCUCAAUAAUGCGUGCCUCAUACUAUGCCAGGUGAAUGUCCGGAUAGGACCCAGAACCAGUACCAAGAGGGGCAGUUAACAUCCUCCUUCCCCAGCCUGUGAAACCAACUAGACUAGUUUAUAUUUAAAAAUAGAAAUGCUAGCUACUGUUACUUGAGAAAGUAAUCGUCUAACAUUCUCCAUCCUAUUUGUUGAAAAGUCUUUGUUAUUCUAUCUUAUGAUUAAUUAUCCUUUUCUUUCAUUAAUUAAUCACUAUUUAUGAUACACUUCAAUCAAUAGGAGAGUGAUAGACGAUCACUUUCUCAAAUGAAGGUAGCUAGCAUUCCUCUUUAUAUAUAAACAUAUAUGAACUGAACUGGACUGGAACAGCUGGUUAAAAUAUUUAACACAUGCUGCAUGGUAGCCAAAGCCAAGCAAUGAUUUUUCAAAAAAUAAAUUAAAAAAAUCUAAAAAAUAUAUAACAGAAUGUUUAAUUAAUAAUAACUUGGAAUAUAAUUAAGGCAAUAUAUUUACAUUUAAAGGAAAAAUUGUUUGAUUAAUUAUACUACAGUUAAGGAAAGAGAAAAAUAAUAAAUGAACCUGAAUAGUGAGGAAAAAAAAUAAUAAAGAAAGGAAAUAAAUUCAAAUUAUAUAAGGUUUUUUUACUAAAUUUUCAAGGGGGAUAUAACUUUUAAUGAAAAAUUUUUUUUCUCUCCUAAUUCGAUUCUUUAUCAUUAACACUUUCUAUUCACUACCAAUUCAAUUAAGGCAUUAAAUAAUGUUAAUCAAUAUAAUUAAGGAAAAUACAUUAAUUACUUACAUUUAUAAUAUAAAUAAGGAAAUAAAAUCAAUACAAUUUUAAAAUUAAUAAAGGAAAUUAAUAUUUGUAUUCUUUUUAAUAUUUGCAUAAACAUAUAAUGUCUUUUCAUUUCUUUGUAUUAAAAAUAAAAAUAUUUGUUUUGUGAAUUUUUGCUUUAUUUCGACAGUGAAUUUUGUGCGUACAACUGGGUCUCGGUGAUUUAAUGACCUGUACAUUAGAUGAUUUAAUGACCAAUAUAUUAUGUGAGUUUCUAAAGAGCAUCCUAGUUUUCUGCUUGGAUUUUGGAUUCUGGGUACUAUCUAAAUUGAGAAUUAUGGAUCAAACUAUAUGUAUAAAUUGAUCCACUUAGGACCUAAAGUUCAUACAUCUCUACCAAGUCUGUUUUGUCUUUAAUUCUGGAAAUUAAUGAAUCAUUUGAAGGAGUAAGAAAAAGGGAACUUACUGGAGUUGGCCAUGGAGAUUUCAUUGACCUCAUUAGGAUCGAGCCAGAUCUUGCCUUUCCCGCACUUGAGCACGCUAGCGGCAAGCCGCUUCUGGAGCUUCAAGGAAACCAUCUUUCUCUUUGUUAUCACUCGCGUGAGAGGCAAAAGGAGGGUUUUACGACUGGAUGCAGAGGCAAUGUUAUACUAUGGCAUACUGAAUAGUUUAGGGUUAGGGGUUUUUCAUUUCGGAUAUUUACAUAAAUUGCCCAAAGAAUAUCUAUAAUUGCACAGUUAGCUCUCUAAUUUUUUUAAAUGACAAAUAUGUCGACUUUUUAAAUUUAACUUUGCUAUUUUAAUCCCUUUGUGAAAAACAUAUUAAUUAUUAAAUAAAUUUAAAUAAAAUUGAUUGAGAAGACGUAAUUUACACUCUUUAAUUAUUAUAAAUAAUGAUCUUAUUUUAUAUAGUUUUAAAAAAAUUAAAAUAAAAAAUAAAAUUUAGUAAUAAGAGAUUCCAUUAUAAUUUAUUUUGUAAGCGGUGUGCAAACAUAAACUUGAUAUAAUGUUUUAAUGUCAGACUAAUUAAUUUUUAUAUUAAAUAAUAUAUACAUUAUCAUAUUAUUUAAUAUGAUUUAUUUUGUAAAAGAAAGAAUUUAAAUAAAAUUAUGAAAGAUUACACUUUAUUUUAUUAAAAAUUAUUAAUAACAAAAAAUGAAAUGUUUUUAUUUGAAAUCAUAAAAAUUAUAAGAAAAUAAAUUAAUUAAUUUUUUUUAAUUCUAAACGAAGGAUAUGUUUUUAUUAACGGUGUAUCAUCUAAAAUUAUAUUUUAAUAACAGUAUAUCAACAUUUUAUUGCUUUUUUAAUAAUCAUUUAUAAACUAUAUGUUUGAUUAUUUAGUUAUAUUUAAUUUUAUUUUUUUUCAUUACUAGCAACAGCAAUAGGAAUUGACUACAAUAGCAGUAAAGUUUUACAACAAAUAAUGUUACAUAUCUAAAUUAUACAAAGACAAAUCCUUCAAUAAUAUAUUUUUAAAAUAAAAUUAACAAUAAUAUCUGUCCAAAAAAUAUGAUGCUGAGAAAUAUGGCGAAAGGAUAUCCAUGGAAGGGCCGGGGUAAGUUGCAAGGCAGAUGCCGCUGCAUCCGUCUAAUUUCAUGUUAAUGUUUUAUUUACAUAUUAAUAGUUUUUAAUUGGAUUAGAUCCAUCAUCUAUCAAUAGAUAAGCAUUGGUUUUGUCUUUAUUUUCCCUUUUUUUUUUUAAAAGAAAAAUCGGCAUUAUUUUCAAAGGGGCAAAAAGCUACGCAGACCCAAAGCCCAUGAAUCAUGGGUUAGAAGCAGUCCAUAAACGAUAUUUUAAAUCAUCCAAUUCGCUUUGGUUAAAAACAAAAAAACAAAAGACAUCCAAUUCGAAGCACGUCUCAAAUAAAAUAUCAGAAACAAAUGCUGCUGAGACUCAAGUUCAACAUGCGACGCGUUCCGUUUAACGUCCUGGUCCUUGUCAUUUCAUCCGCCCUUUCCAGAUUGGUUUUCCCUUCCCUUGAUUUUCCUGGACAUUUCCCGAGAAAAUAAAAUCCCCUACUCGCACGCCUUCUCCGUAAUCACCUAUUCUCCAUUCUCAAAAAAUCCCAUUCCUAGUUAGUCAUGAUGGAUAUUUCUGUCAUUGCUGAUACGGUAAUCGAAGUCACACAACAAGGGGUAGGAUUUUCGAAUUCACUACUCCACCGACAAAUUUGCAUCUCCAAUGGCAACUGUGCUCUCUCCGGUAGGUUCCUCCAAAGCGCCGAUGUUAUUUUGGACGCGCUAGCUCCUCCGCCGGUCACAUCUAAUUCGCAUAAAACCGCUCGCCGGACUCUUCUUCGCUGAAAGCGACGGACGAGGCGGCGAUCUUGCGGCAGCGGAGACUACGAGGAUGAUGGCGACUAUAUCGGGUUUUGGUGGUGAUGGUGACGGUAAUGGUCUGCUUGGUGGGGCUGGUGGAAGUUGGGGCGGUGGCAGAGGGUGGAAUUUUGACAGAUUUGGCGGACAAAAUUGGGACGAGUGGUCGUGGUCGUCAUCAUCUGAGUUUGCUUAUGGGUUCAUUUAUGAGGUGAUUUAUUGGAUUGCCUUGUCAACUUGCACGCAUUUUGCGUUUGAGAAGGUUGUGAGGAUCAUGGCCGAUGGAAUUGAUGAUGCUGAGGGAGAGAAGGUUCCUAUGAGAUUGGCAUCCGUUUGCUAAAUUGGUAAGUGAUAUUGCAAUUUACGAAUGAAGGGAAAUGAAUUGGCUAAUAGUUAUUGUAUAUUAAUUGUGGUAUGAUAUCAUAUGCUAUUUGCUCUUAACUUUCUUCCCUCAUGUAAUGCACAUAUUGUAUAUAUAUUUAUCCACAUUGUUUCAAUUUAUUGAUAGGAUGCCGCAUUUUAUUUUUGUUUUAUUACUUGAUUUACCCAGUGAUGUGCUGUGUCCAUUUGGUUACUUGACAAGGGAGGUCCUUGGUUUCACAUUUUAGCCAGUGACAGAUGGCAACUUAUGUAUUCGUUCCCUAUAAUAACAUGGAACAGUAAUUUCAUGAUAUUAUAACUCUGUUGAGAUUUUAGAUUGAUAAUGACAUAUUAUCUUGGGAUGGUAUUGUGACUGAGAUACAUGUAGUCUCAAUUUUUUUAUAAUCUAGGUGGUGUUCUUGUUUAUCUAUUUCAUCGUUCUUGUUUCAUGGCGUCUUCAUUUAUUUUGAUUGCAAUUAUAGUUGAUUUAAGUUUGAAUAUCAUGAAGCUUUGAUGAAUUGCUACUUUUUCUCUCAUGACUAGCUUUAUGAUGUUGGCUGUUAAGGUGGAUAGAUAUUGAAAUGCAUUUGUUAGAUGGAGAUGGUGCCUGGUAUUUGUGUGUUGUUCAUGUAAAGGAUAUUGUCGAUACAAAGUUGUAUGAUGGAUGGGAGACUGAUAAUGUUCCAUGGAUUACCUUUUAUGAAGUGUCUCUAGUUUUGAGUUUUCGGUUGUCCUGUAUUGCAUGAAUAUGCAGUGGUACUUCUGUGUUUCUUAUAUUAACCAAAUUGCUCUGCUGUCUCUUCAUCCUUUUGUUUCUCAUAUGCUGUAAAUUGUUUCUUUCCAUGCUUCUGUCUCAAUCACAGACAAACAUGUCAAUUUUGAAAAUUUGAUGCCUCCUUAAUGUUCUCCCUUUUGCUUCUUUUAUCUUGCUCAUCAACUAUUCAUCUUGGUUACUUUAGCCUUUCUUUGAUGUCUGUUUCCUUACAUACUCUUUGUUGUUAUAUCCUAGAUGAUUCUCUUGUUAUUCAUUGUCAUCCUCUUUGGGUAAUCUUAAUUGUCUCUGAAGACUAGAUACUAUCAGGUAAAUUGUAAAUGCUGUGUAGAAGCAAAUCCUUCUUAUGUUGAUGCAGCAUACUGCACCACAUUCAUUUUAGAGAACUACUGACAUGAACCUCCUAAAUCCUAGAAGAAAAUUAAUUAUUUUGUCGCUCUGACGUUUUAGCCAAGAGUUGGUAUUUAGCAUUGCUAGACACAUUAUUGGGGUUGUACUGGCUGGUAAUGCAAUUGAGGUCGUUUCAUCACUGGGAAUGACUUUGUGGACUGGAGGUUUUGAACUUUAAGAUUGAACAUGUUCAGCAAAUAGAUAUUCUUAUGGACAUGGAAAGAGGAAUGUAGUGGCUUCUCUCCCAAAGAAUGGUUGUGCUGUCAGAAGUGAGAUUUUUUAAUGUGCUAGAUGGAUCCGAUCAUAGAGAGUGUAGCUACAGAUUAACAGAGCAAUGGAUGAUGUCUAGUGAAAUCCAAUAAAGGUCAGGUAUCUCUGUAUUCGUUGGCUACAUGCUUUUCACAGCUGAAAACCUUUAUAUGAUGAUGUUAUUGUAGAAAGGUGGAUUUUUUUUUCCAGGGGCUUUAAGAAUGUAGGAUUUCUAUGGGGGGUGAAGCUAGCUAUGCCCGAUCCAAAACUGAAGAUACCAUCUAGAGCCGGUUUUUAGCGAUUUUGUUCCCGACAAUUUUGGUUUUGGUUAGCCAGUUUGGUCUUCAUUUGAAUAGGCUGAUUUUUUUAUUAUUAUAAAAAUAUAAUUGUUAUUUUACAUCAAGAUCUCUGUGUUUAUAUAUAUAUAUACACACACACAUGUAUACUGGGUAAACAUUAUGUAGAAAUGUUAUACAUGUAGGCUUUAAUUAUAAUAAGUGAAAACUGCAUAAAAAUUUACGAAUGAGUAUACGUAAUUAAAAGGGGGAAAUUGGGCGAUUCUGCUGAUUUUUAGAGGGGAGGAGGGUUAGUCACGGGGAGCCAUUGGGGUGUGCCAUAGAAUAUGAUUUGAAAUGUUUUGUUGAAAAAUCAGGCUGAAUCGGAUGGAUAUUUUUUGGAUGGGUUCAAUUCAAAAGCUGUUAGGUGAACUGUAAUUGACUCUCCUAGCCUGGGUACCCGAUCAAUCCGAGUUUUCAGAAAACGGUGACCGACACCAACCUGAUUGGAUAUUGAGUCUAUCUUGAAUUGUGGCUGGGCCUAGUUUCAUGUACCAAAUUUCGCUGGUUUGGAUUCAUGGCCGCCAUCAAUGAUCAAAACGUCAAAGAGAUUAUGACAUGAUCGAGUCCAUAUCAACACGAUGGAGAAGCAAUGAAUUUGCCUUUUUCUUUUUUCUUCUUUUGUUGAAAAUUGAUGAAUAAAAAUGUAUUUGAUUGCGCAGCCAAACUCUGCUUUAUGAAGCUUCGGUUGCCUGUUAGUUUAAUUUUCACUUGAAACAUGCUAGAUGGUUGGCCUUUUAUUUAAAAAGAAGGAAAAAAAAAAAAAGGAUUAUUGGCUAAAAGGAAUUUCCAGUGGCAAGUGGCGGUGGUAGGACCAUCCUUUCUUCUUCAAGGCACAAUAAGGUGCUAUGAAUUUGCACCAAGUUAUUAUUAACAAACAAGUUGUAGUAACGAUGAGUUUUGUCGCAUAAAUGAGUGGGAGUCAGCUGACACAAUCUCGAUUUAAAAUAUAUACAUAUAUAUAUAUACUCAAGUCACACUGAGCAAUAGAUUAUGGAAGACAAAAAGAAAAGAGGAUGGAUGAUCUCUUUCAAGAAAAUUAUCAUUUUUUAAGGAAAUCCCACUUGGAGUGUAGCGGUUGCACAUUCGGUUUUGGUUCAUGCAUCUUCAAUUAUGAAUUGUAUGAAUACACCGUUAUUUAAUUUCUUAGUCUUGCUUUCUCCACUAAUCCCUACUUAAAAUACAUAUUAUCAAUCUAAUCCAACAUAUGAUUUUAUAUUAUAUUUAUAUUCCAAUUGAUUCUGAUCUGGGUGAUUGAUUUUGAUAUGCAACUGUUUGUCAAUUUUAAAUAUUGUUGCUUGCUUCACCUUCCUCUUCCCCACAUCUUUUCGACCCUUUUGCAAGAUUUUUUUUUUUCACGAUGCGACACUAUGAAUGAAUGUAUAAUUUACUCUUUUUUUUUUAAUGCACGGUCAGGUGGGUUUUCCUAUAAUAUUGAAAUUAAGUCAAAUUUAUCAUACCGAACAGUUAAGAAUACCUUUUAUUGUCAAAUCUCGAAAUUAUAUAAUUAGAAUUAGAAGUGAUACUAGAUCUUGUUAAUGCUUUUUAGAAUUGAAUUAGAAUUGAGAUUUAGAGACUAAACAUGGAUCCCUUAAAUUAAACUUAUCUAUUCAAACAUCAAUCUUGUUUGAAUUUAUUAUUUUCUUUUAAUAACAGUUAAUCAAAUUAAACAGAAUAAUUUAUAAAAGCAGAUUUCACCUAUGUAAUAAAUUUAGAGCCCUCGAAGCAAAUUGAAAUUAAUCAUACCGAAAUUAUAAUUCUAAAUUAAUUUAUAAAGCAGACCUCACUUAUAUAAUAAAUUUAGAGUCUUCGAAGCAAGUCUUGUAAUGGUCAUAGGCUUUUUAUUAGAGGGAAAGAAAUAUGUUGUAGCUGAGUGUACGAUCAGCUUCUCUCCAAGUCAAAUUGGACCAACGUUUCAAAAUGGCUAACCGUGAAUUUCAAAGUGAGCAGUAUUAGUAGUAGUGUUGACUGUUAAGUAGUGAGAGUAGUGUCUGGAACUUAUCCAGCAACCACAAAAGAACAAUAGUAUAGAUAGGCAAGGCCAUUGGCAUAUGAUAUAGUCAAGAAAUCACACCAUCUGCAAAGGAAACUUGAGAUUUGUGGGUGCAUGCACUGUACUAGUAUUCAAUGUGGCGCGGGGAGGGGAGGGGGACCUUCCUUUCCUGUCAGGCAGUUUAAAUACCACCAAAAAGAUGUAAAGCCCUUGUCUAUCUUAUCUGUACUUGGAAUUCACUUCUCCUUAUAUAUGAACUAGCCAGGGUCCAUGCAGCACUGAGUCAAUGCAAAGCUAAGAGAAUACAUCUAGUUUCAGACAAAAACUAAUAAAGCCUCCUUAAUAAUUUUUUUUUUUGUCCUUCGCCGCUACUAAUCAUAAGGAUUCUUCUAAGUUUUGUUAAUUAGCACGCCAAGUUAACCUUCUGAACCAAUUUGCUUAAGAUUUUAUUCGUUUUUUUAUAUUAAAUUAAGAAUAUAACACAAAGAGGGCAAACUACUUCUCAGAAGAUAAGUAUUAAUUAGUUUUAGCAUUGAAUGGAUUCAUAAAACAGAAUUCCUCUUUCCAAAUUUUUAUUGCUUGCUUAUAUAUCCUUUGUUGCAUGUAUUAAUUAUAUAUCAUUUUUGCUAUAAUAAUUAAUAUAGACAUUAAUUUAUGAGUACAAUAAUUUGACAAACUAUAGAAUACUGACACACAUUACCAAACAUCACGGGCAUGAAUUUUAGACUUUUUGAGAGAGAAAAAAAAAUUAAUUAUGAUUAAUUUUUAUUUAUUUUAAAGUGUUAAAUAAUAAAAAUAUUCUCAAAUUUAAAAUUUUAUUCAUUAAAAAAAUAAUUACAUACUUUUUGCUGUAUAAUAUUAUUAUUUAAUUUAUUGAAAAUUAAUAAACAGAAAAAAAAAUCUAAAAAAUGACGAAGGAAAAUAAUACUGCAAGCGACAAUUAAGUAAGAAAAUAAAUGCAAUUGAAAGAGAGAGAGAAACAGAAGCCGAUAUUAAAAAGUAAUUAGUCUCGAGCAAAACCAGUUCAAUCUAUAAUUAAAACCAUCUUAAACAAGGAAGCAUCAAACAUAAACACAGUACCAUUAAAACCCUAAACACAACCACCGCUUGCCACAUUUACUUUAUUUAUUAUUUACUUUAAAAAGAAAGCUGGCGCUGGUUCUGAUGAUGGCUCACCAGGUCAUCCAGCAUCCACAGGUCCACCGACUCGCUUGUCUCACAGCUGCUUCCACUCAGCUGAGCCACCAUCUGCUCUGGCUCCAAUUCCAGAAACGUCUCUAGGCUUGAGAUUUGUUCUUUCAGCUCACAUUCACUGCCCAAUUCUUUUUGGUAUCCGACGCCAACACCCAUGUAUGGUGGCGGUGCUGGCACGCUGCAGGUUUGGAAGCCAGCAGCAGUCAUCUCAGAAGCGAUAAGGCACCGCUUCUUUGAUGGUGGUGGUACCGUCGGAGAUGCACUUGUAGCUUGAGGUGGUGGUGGGGAUGGUGACUGCCCAAAAUUGAGCUUAGCCUUGUCGCCACGGAUGCGCUUGGCUGCCUCAUCGUACGCUCGGGCGGCUUCUUCAGCUGUAUUAUAAGUCCCGAGCCAGACACGGACACCCUUGUGUGGGUCUCUGAUCUCAGCAGCCCAUUUCCCCCAUGGCCUUUGCCUUAUUCCUCUGUAAAUAUUCUUGCGAAUUCUCUGACUCUUGUUCCCUUCCGUUGCAGUGGUAGUCUUCUCAGACUUCUCACUGCCGAUGGCCACUAAAAUUGUAGAAAGAAACAUUUAAACUAUUGCUCUCAAUAGUUAAAUUUUUUUUUUUAAAUCAGAUAAAUAAACAAACAAAAAAUCAUGCAAUAAAACCAAAGGCAGAUACGCUUACCCAUUACACAGAUAAAAUAGAGAAAAUGGUUACCUUGGCUGAGCAGCUGUUGCUCCUUUUGUUUUUCAGGGAGUUUAAGAUCCAGCUGGGUAGAUAUCUGGUCUUUAUUAGCAUUAUUAGGAUAGUCCAGACCAAGAAAGUCAGAGAAGGUGUCAAGCUCAGACCAGAGAUCCUCGGCGUUCCAUCGCCGGCUUCGUUUGACGGCAACGAAAUCGGAGAUAAUAGCACCACCACACAUGUUUCCAAGAGAGAAGUAGGGCGUGUGUGUUCAUUCAAGUGAGAGACAAAGGGAAAAGAGAGGGUCUGCUUUUAUAGAUCGACGGUUACAACCAAUCUACCAGAACAAGACAAGAGCUCUCAAACGUUUUCUGGGUGAUGUUUGUCGUUUUUGGGAUUUUUAUCGGACGGUGGAGAUACAAUCAGAAAAAAAAGGCCAUGGGAGAUCAGCGAGAGACGUGGGAUCGCUGAUCAGGUUUAUUUGAUAGUAGGAUUUUUACCAGGGGUGGGAAAAAAGAAAAGUGAUUUUUACCAGUUGGAACCACAUUAUCCAGUGACAGGUGUGUUGACGUGGCUUUCUCUAACUGGGAAGAGGAAAUUGUGCUGAUUAUUUGGUGUAACGCACGUCAAUGAGGAGUUGUAGUUCCCAAAAUUAAAACCGCCCAGUGGCAGGGGGACUUUAGAAUUUACUUGCUGUCGCUGCUAGAAUUACUGUUGAAAUUCGUUAAAAUAUUUAAAAUUAUAUUGAUAUACGUAUUUAAUUAGAAAACAUUUUUAAUACUAUUUAAAAUAAUGCUUGUUUUGAAAAAAAAAAAAAAAAUUCUUUCUAACAAUUAAAUUUGCAAAUUGCAAUGAAUCCUAUUCAAAAUAAUACAGAAAACCAAUGUAUGUUUGGAUUGGCAAAAUGCAUUACUUCUGAAAUUCUAUAUAUAAAUUAAUGGAAAAUUUUAGUAAAUUUAGAUGUAUUUCAAUUGGAAGAUUGGCUUUGAUAUCUGAAUUGCUCUAAUGACUAAACUGUGUAAUGGAAGCAUACAAAUUUUAUUAACACAUGUAAGGCAUUAAAAUUUGCUAAUCAUAUGCCAUGCAAAAAGCUGUCUUUUUUAGAUUAUUUAUUUUUAAUAAUAAAAAUUACUAAAAUUAUUACCGAUUAUUAUUUAAUAUUGAACUUUCAAUCGACCCAUGAAAUUUUAUUGAACAAUACAAUUUUUAAAUAUAUAUUUUUUUGAUAUUUUAAUAAGCAAAAUGCAUUUAUUGCCCUUAAGAAAAAAAGAAGGAAAGCAAUCAUGAUGAAUUAUGUCAAAUAUGGAGUCGGCAAAGGAAAUGGGAAUGAGAUUUAAUCUUUUUCAUUUUAAAGAGCAAAAGACAAACGAGUAAGUGUAAAGGGUAAUCUUUUAUGAUCCGUGUUCUUGUACGUAUUGAAGAACAGCCAGUAGGUAGAUGUAUGAGAUAGGCCCUCAAAUGCCUUGCAAUGCAAUUUGCAGAGGUUUUAGCUGCAAAAGGGGAUUUGGGCUGCAGAAAAUCCUGGAGAUAGCAAGUGGUUUAGCUAUGGGCUUAUACAGAAAGGAACAACCCAUUAAGAUAAGCAUUGCCCUUAGAGGAAAUGGGUGACGAAGUGGUAGAAGCUAAUAUUGCAUCACGCACGAGGGCCUUGCAGGCUUUUUGGGCUGAAAUGGGAAGAGACCUUGUCAGCUUCUGACUUCCAAGUCUACAUUUUCUCACCACUCACGUGGCCCCCCUAGCCCACAAACAAAUCUCUGAUAUAAUCAUUUGGCAUUUAAACCUUAUUUUGGCUGACCAUUUUACUCUGGCUCCUUUCUGGAGUGGUUAUUCCAGGUCAUAGCUACAAGCCAUUUUAACCUAUACGGAAUUUGUCUCUAGUAGCUCACACCAACCAACACACUAUGGAUCAGACCCAGUAUGUAUAUUUAUAUUUACUGAUUUUCUUUUUAAAUAAAUAAUGAAUUUUUAGUGCUAUUAAAAUGAAUUGGGUAACUAAAAAUAGCUUACCCAUUGAUAAGAUGGCCCCAAAAUCAAGAAUCCAGCUCUGAUUUCCAGUGUCAGCCUUAGGUGGCACCUAUAUUUGCCAAAAGUCUACGUCAUAAUUCCUGUAAUUGGCAAAAGGGCGCCAUUAUAUAUGGACUCGUAACAACAGCGAAAGUACUAAAAGAACAACAACAGUGAAAGUACUAUCUACUAUGCACGAUUUGUACUUGCAAGUUGCAUCUUUGCAAGCGCCAUUGCAACCCCUAGCCACCCAAUUCAUUUCACCUAUAUAUAUCUCCUGAAUUUUCCAUUUAUUAUUUUUAUUAUUAUCAUUCUGUAUUACAUGGUUCAAUUGGUGACCCAAUCUGCAAGGGGGUUAACCAUCCAAGAACUCUGAAGUUUGCCCCUGAGAUUAAGCUUUGCUAAAUUUGUGAAGUGGCGAAAACAUCUCCGACUCUGAUCACAUUUAUCCGAUGCUCAUGAAGUCCUAAUAAAGUAAUAAUCCAUUUUAGUUGAUAAAUUAAGCUGGAAUAAAUUGGCAGAACCCAAUUCUAUUAAAUACAAAAAAUCUAAAUACUAUUAUAAUCAGGUAAUAAGGAUCAAACAUGCAUGCGCUCCCUCGUACGACAUGUGUGAGAAAGAGAGAGUAAUUAAAGAAAUGAAACAUUUGAAGCACAGGAAAGAAUAUAACUAAUUCACUAGCUAUUAGGUAUGGUUUUGUAUAUAAAUAAUCAGCUCCUUUUGUUGGGUUGCAGAUCCGUACAUUUUGCAAGGGAUAUCUUUAGAUCUGUUUUGUUUUUUGCUUUUCUUUGUUCUUUGUGUUCAUAUUGCAUGCAGGUGAGUUAAUCCUUCCUCAUCUCAAGAUGCUCCGGUAAGAAGAGAAGACUCAGAUCUUGACGACAUCUAUUUUUCUCCCCUGGUUUUUCACCCGUCUUUGUCUGUGGUGCUUCAGAAAGAGAUCUACCUAUAUUGGCUGUGAAAGAGAGUUUCAAGUUUUCUUCUUUGAUGAGAAUCUCGGGGAUCUCUUCGCUUUAAGAUUUAUUUCUUGAAAGGUCGAUCCUAAGGCUUACAGUGCCGAAGAGCCCUUCUCGGUGGACUCUUCACAGCUUGGACGAAGUUUUAGCCACGUUUCGGUUCUGCUAUUAAGUUCUUUGGUCCUUCAAUGGGUGAAGAAGCCGCUUGUUUGGAUUGUAUGAGCUUCAAUAUGUCUCCUUCUCUGUUUUGUGGCAACCAUCUUGGCUUCUUCUUCGACGUUAGCCUUACGGCGGCAAGUUUGUUUUGCUUUCUCUCCUGCGCCUAGGGUUUUAAUUUUUUUUUUUGGGUCUAUACUCUUGUUUUUGGGCUUCUUGAUGGGCUUAGUUUUUUAUGUUUGUGAGGGCCAUAGAGUUUUUAUUUUGUGGCUUGGUGUUUGUAUUUUGAGCUCUCGAGCUUUUUUGAAGGAAUAUUAUUUUUCGGAAAAAAAAAAAAAAGAAUUAUGUGCCAACUGCAAAGUACUUGAGUCCGCCGCCAAGUAGUUCCUUAAUGCGUAGCUCUUGAAUGCAAAGAAAUGUAGAGAACUUGAAAACAGAAAUUGGAUUAAUGAAUAAACAAAGAAAAGAAAAAAAUAAUACUCAGACAUAUCAUAACUCUCUCUCAUACAGACAGAACACAGCAAAACAAUAACAAAAUUCCAUAGCCUCUUUGAAGUAUCCAAUAAUGUUUAUACUCUGUCACUAUUAACAGACAUGAUAUUUAACAAAAUCAUAUGUGCCACAAUUAUCAAUUGAAAUAAAUUUAUUAAAGCAAAAUGUCAUCAUUCCCUGCAAUUUUAGUGAGGAGGGAAAGGUAUCAAAACCUAAAUGAAAAGGCUGAAUUACAAUGUAAAUUGCAAAAUCUUUCUAGUCCACCAUUUUUGUCAAGCGGUGAAUGGUACUCCUUGCAAUCCUAUUAGCAGGAUCGAUCUUUAGAACAGUUCUCAGAUCUUCUGCCCCCAGCUUGUACUUUUCCAUACUUUCAUACAGGAGUGCACGUUGUACAAGAACAGACACAUUUGCACCAUCAUGUUCAAGCACCUGCCCAAACAUGAAAAAGACAAUAAAUUUCCUACUCCAGAAAGUUGGAUAUUGAGGGAAAAAAUGAUAUAUUAUUAGAGUGAAGGAAACAGGUUCCAAAACCAUAACAGGCAAAAUAUAAGCCAUAGCACAUUUAUUUAGCUCGUCGAUCAGCAUGUUAUGCAGAGCAACAUCAUCAAUGAAUGUUGUACCACUAGGCAAGUUGCUGACCUUCAAAUGGUUAAUGCUUAACUAUUUUCUUUGCCUUCACUAGGAUUUAUUUGUUUAUAUUGUAACAAGUUCUGCAAGAUUUAUUUACAGUUACAUGACACAGGUCCAAGCAAAAGCUGUCAUAGACCAAAAUAAGAUAAACACCAUUAGGGUACUUGAAGACUUACAUCAUAGGCAAACUAGAAGAUCCUACAUGCUUAAUUUGAUGAUCAUGAUAUUGCUUCUUUUUAAUGGUCUAGCUACACAAUACACAUCAAUAGCUGAUUCUUAUGUUCUCUAUACAACCUAAAAACUAAACUAAUAUACAGCCUAAAAACCAAAACCAAGUCAUGGAUUUUGAUGUACAUUUAACAAAAUUUUACGAUAUGAUAUCUUUAGGCCUAACUAGGAAAACUGAGAAGACACAGGAAACCUGUCAAGAAAAUAGAGAGAAAAUAGUAAAAGGAAAGAAAAAUUUAGGGCAGACCUGAAAAUUUUAAAAAGGGAAAUUGAUUCUAAAAUUCUGUAGAUGCCAACCCAACCAAUUCUACUACUGUUAAUAAGUGCAACCUAUUACACGAGAGUAGCAACCUAAUAUGUUAUAACAUAUGAAGUGCUAACUAACAAUCAACACCUCACCAUAGUUCCACACACGAUGAUUACUACCUAAUACGUAAACAGAACACUUCAAAUUCACCGAUUAACCACUAAAAACUAAACUAAUAAUAUGACAUACAUGAGUAGAAACCAUUGGGUAAAUGCAAGCAAUGGUUAUACCUUUGUACAGUCGGCGACAGCCUUCUUAUACUCUCCAACUUCUUUAUAACAUGAAGCUCUGAAAGAUAAAACCUCCGUGGAUGAAGUCUGGUCGCCAGUUUUCUCAAGAAGUAGUACAGCCCAAGACAACCACUUGAUGGCAUCUGCAUAUUGCCCCUGCUUUUGGUUAUCAAUACCCUUGGUCUUUGCUGCAGAAGCUGUCACCCCAGCAGGCGGAGGUGGAAGUCUUUCAAGCUCAGUGGUGGCACCACCUGAAUCAUUUCCAGCCCCUCCUCCAAACUCUGAGUCCAAUCCCCAGUCAUCAACUUGUAAGGAAUGCUGCCCUCCCACUCCUCCAGAUGCUGUUGCAGCCCCUCCCGAGGAAGAGGAAAAGAACAUAUCCAGUGGAUCCCCACUUGAAGUUGUAAUAGGUGUCUGCUUCUGAGAAGUAAAGCCAUUGUUGGGCAUGCUGAAAUCAUCAAUAUUCGAAUUGGAAGUGAUAUUUGAUCCCAUGAAAUCAUUGUUCUUAGCACCAAAACCACCUGAUGGAAAUGCUGUUGUGCUUGGUUUUGCAGCAUCUUGAAAAUCUCCAAAUGCAUCAUCUCCAGCAUUGGUCUUACCAGUUUUACUUGCCGAAUUAAGACCACCAGAUUGUUGUUUUGAUCCAAAAUCAACCAAAGAACCAAAUGGAUCCCUGUUUCCACUAGCUCCACUUCCACUCAUACUUCUCAUUGAAGGGCCGCCAAGAUUCGGACUCCUGUUACUACCAACCUUGGCAUCACCAAUACCAGUAGCAUUAACACCACGACCAUUUAUAUCGUAUCCAGCGGAGUAACUGCCAAAAUUUUCAUUUGAUCCCCAACUUUGACCACUUUUCACCGAAUUACUCGUUUUUGGCAACGAAUCAGCCGGAUUCCCCAUCGAAUAUGCACUAUUAUUCGAUGUGGGUACAGCAUUUUUCAAAGGAACAUUGCUGCUGCCCUUAUUUCCCUGCCCCAAAGCAGAGCUAACCAGAUCCCCAAACAAAUUUGGGUUCUUCUCUACGAUCCCGAUUCCAGAACCUGAAGCCGGUGAAUUCCAGCUCUUCCCAAAUAUAUCACCCACCAUAGAAGCGGGCCCGUUUAGCCCAGGCCGAGAAGGUUGACUCGGUGAUGGUUGGUGAGUCCAGGAAGGUUUGUUCGGUUGCCACGCGGGCUUUGGUUGCGUAGGUGUUGAAGAUGCAUAUGACGAAUAUGAGGAGGAGGUUUGGUUUUUUCGCUCGUUGAGGGAUUUGGAUCUGUUGGAGCCGAGCCCGAUAUCAAAAUUGAAGUUGUUUAAGGAUCCAGAUGAACCUUUCCCAUAAUUGGAGUUCAUUUUGUCCUCCUUUCUUAUCGAAUCAAUUAAAAAGAAAACAGAAAAUAAUCCGUUGGGAUCUAAAGAGGAAAAUGAAAUCUGCUACAACAAAGAAGGUACCUGCUAAUUUGGAGAGCGAGAAAGUAAGGAUCAGAUAAUCCAAACGAGGUAUAUCGGGGAAAGAAGUAGUAGGGAUGUGAAAGGAUGUUUUGGGCGGUGGAUGGCGGAUGUCCGAUGGAGGAGAGUCCACGGAACAACAAGAUGUGAUGGCCUCUCGUGUAAUUUUCAGUUAUCUUUUGGAGUCGGAUUUAGGACAUUUCAGAAUCCUGCUGCCUUCUGCAUAUGCUAUCCAUGUUUUGUAGGAAGGAGGGCUAAAUUAAUCCUUUUCUCUUUUCAUAGUUAUAUUUAGAAAAUAAAAAUUAAAUAUUUUUUAUUAAACUUGGAAAAAUUAAUAUUUGUAACCCUAAAAAAAAGUUGGGUAGAGUAAUUGAUUACACAGUGAAUUAUUAAUUUACAUGUAUUUAAUUAUUAAUGAACCUCUAUCAUUUGUUAAUUGAAAAUCGAUUACAUUUCAUAAAAUCUCAUAUAAAUUGACGAAAUUAGAAAUUUAACAUGGCAAAUUCUUGCCAAAAAAGAAAAAGAAAAAGGCUCCCGGUCAUCUUGGGAUCAAAUCUGACAGGAUUUGUAAUAAGAUAUUUGAAACAUUAUCCUUUCCAAAAUAUAUGGUGAGAACAUACAAAAUAGGGUAUUGCAAAUAAAUCACCAAAUUUGUUCUAAUCAUGCACAAUCAACUAAAAGAAGAAAUAAAAAUAAAGAUACUGAACCAAUGAUGACGAACCAAAUAUAGGAUUUUUUUUUUCAAGUUAUGGUUUGAAGAUUGAUAAGUUCCAUUGAAAGCUAAGAAGGCAUAUUGCCAAGCUGAGCAAUGGGAUUACAAAUUUAGCAUCAUGGAUAGCUUUAGUUGCUAAGGAAGAGCUGCUAUGUUUCCAUCUCUUCUAAAAUGGCUAAAGGAGAUCAAAUCAAAAUUCUUCGAGAGUUGUUUAAUGUUCUUGAUCAGCCCUUGGAUUUAAAGGCAACAACUGUGACCGGUCAAGCCUAGAUGACCGUUAAGGAAUCUCCCCCAACAACAGCCACAAGGAGAGCCUUGGGGGAAAGGUCUAGUUUUGCUUUGGAAGAUAAUUUGUUACUGUAAAUUAUUAGCAUUGUCAAUGCACAAAACUCAAAUGAAGAAUUAUCAAACACGUAUAAUUUUUUGAAAACAGUCCAGAAGAUGCAUAUUUCAUUUAUCUGUAAAAGAUGCAGACAACAUACCCAAGUUUACAAUGAAACUCAAAAUGUGCAAGAAACAAGUUUGUAGCCAACAGGGAGGGAAAAUGACAUAAUUCUUCUUUUGACAUUCUAAGAUCUAAAUUUUUGCCAGUACCAAAAAAUCUCAUGCUAAAGAACUACUAUCUGGUGAAUUCUCAAGUACCCCGGUUAAGCUGCCCUUGGUUCGCAGACAAAUCUGUCCUUGCACCCUGCACUGAUUCAUGAGCAUGCGAAGGUGGUCUUUGUAUUGGCUCUCUCCUCUCAACUUGCAUUGUUUCACGGCGCCUAUCAUACCUUGGGCGAGGCCUGUUCCUACUUUGCUGUCUCUGGUUAUACCAAUAUAUAGGCCUGUGGAUGACCUUCCCAUCGACGAACAAAUCCCCUGGUUAAAACCAAAUGGAAAAAAUGGGAAGUGAAAACUGAUAAUUUAAAAGGGAUAUAAAUAAUUUUUGUUAUGAAACAUUUCAAAUGCAUACCUCCAUAAUCCUUGUUAGGAACAUCAAGAUAUGAAUCUGGCAAAACCCACAGCACACCAGGCAGCCCUAUUUGUCCAGAAAAAUAAAUAUAAAUCAGCCUAACACAAAAAAUCAUAUCAAAAACUGCCAAACUGCAUGUAUAAGCUAGACAAUAAGCCAUGCUGAUUUCAUGAAGGAUGGAAAUUGUUCCUUUAACCUCAAACAGAGACACUCGUCAUCAAUGUGAUUUAAUCAACUACACAUAUCAUCAAAUUUUGUGUGUUGGGGAGCUAAUAUCCUCAAACCAUGUGUUUGACUGUUUGUAUAGAGUGAAGGGAGGAUUUGUAAAGUAAGAUGAUUGAAGGUAAGACCCAAUACACCAAUUGGUGGAUUGAAAAAGUGAGAUAUUUGAAACCUCCAAAAAUCUUACCUAAGCUUAAAAGCCCUUUUGAACCCUUACCUCCAAAAACUCCAUAAAAAACACAGUGAACUCAAAUCUUGCGCAGUCAUAAGAAGAAACUAAAGUUAAUUCAAUGAGAAAGAAGCAUAAUGGCUUUUAAAGACUAAACCCUAUCGCUGAAAGCGCUAAACCCUAAAUGAAGUACCUUUAACUUUGUGAGAAAGCUCCUCAGAAAUCAAAGCACCAAACCCAGUAUAUGCUACCGUGCUAACCGAAUAAAUCUUCUUCUUGGCCUCCUCCUCGCUGCAACCCACACAAACAAUCACAAAUCGAAACUCCAAGUACCUAAAAUUAAAAAGGAAAUCCAAAUCGAAUGGAGUUAAAUUCAGUACCUGCCCACAACAGCAGCAAGAGUUUUGACGUAGGUAUUGAUCAUUUCUUCUUCGGAGGGUUUUGGGUCUGUCGGGAACUCCAUAACGAUAAGCCAGUGUUCAUAGUCGCAGCCAUCCAGGAGGAUCGUUUCUUUUGGAGGCCGGUUGCUCCAGUUGGGAGACGGGUCGUUCAGAGGUGAGUAACCCGGCCCUGAAGUUUUGAAUCGGGCAGGGAUUUUGACAGAAUCCGGGAGGAGUUGAAACAGUGGGUUUUUGUCUAGGAGAGAAAAAACGAAGCGAGAACGAGAAGAGAGUGAAGGCGAUGAAUAACAAGAAGUAACAGUCCGGGUAAGGAGCGAUGCGAAGUUGCGCCUGGUGGCCAGGUACGCCAUUGCUCUCACUCUCCAGUCUCCGCCUUGUUUCUUCUCGAGCUGAGCUAUUGAAAUUGCCUUGCGUUUUGCGAUUAUGAAGACCUCCUUUUAGCUUUUGUCGGAUCGAGAUGAACUAAACGACGACGCUUACAGCCUUCCCUUCUUAUUCUUAUUUUUUAAAAGAAAAAUGGGUUGAACAGGAGAAAUUUGAUUAAUUUUUACCAUCACGAAAUGGACAUUCCACCACUGGAAAACCAACCCAAGAUUUUCUCAAAAAAAUUACAAAAAAAACCUGUAGUUUAAAACAUUUUCAGUAAUACACUUAAUUUCACUUUUUGAUAAAGUGAUAUCUCGAAACAAAAACACUUUUAGAUAAAAAUAUUGUUAGCAAGUAGGGAAAAAAUGUUUGAUAACGUUAGAGUUAAGUUUAUAUGAAAUAAAAUAUUUAAUUAUUUUAUAUAUUUUAUUAAAUAAAAUAUUUUUUUAAUAAUUAAAAAAAUUAUUAUUUUUCUUAAAAGAGAUUAAAGAAAAAAUAAUAAAUUAUUGUAAUUAGAAACACAUAUUAAUCGUCAUUUUCAUUUAAUUUUUACAUUUAAAUAAUUUUAAUUAAAUAAAAAUAAAAAAUAACAGAUAGAAUCUGAUGAAAAUAAAGAAGUUAGAAUUAAAUAGAGAUUAAUGGAGGAUGAGGAGGAGGAAGAGGUUGAGCAUCGAAUAAAGUAUAGUGAUAAUGCUAAUAUUUAUGAUGACAAUGAAAGCGAGGAUAAUAAUUAUGAAAAUAAAUACGAGGUGAAUGAAAUUUUUAUUGAUUAUGAUAGUGUUCAUGAAUAUGAGGUGGAUAGUGAUAUUAAUGAAAUGUGAGCUAAUUUAGAAGAAAGUGGCAAUGAUGUUAUAAAUCAAGAGAACGAACAUGAAGUGGAGGUACUGAUACAACCAACUCCAUAAGUGAAAAUAUCAAUGAAAAAGGCGAACAAGAAUUUUUUUGCAACUCCAACUUCAUCUAUAUAUGAGUGCAAAAUAUUCUUCAAUUUUAUAAUAAAUUAUUUGCUUUUAUUUAAUUGAUACAAUAAUUUUACUUUUUUAGCACGACAAUUAAGCAAUUCAUUCUCAUAUUUUUAUAAUCUUUUCAUCAUUUUCGAAAAUACAACUUUAUAUUUUCGACCAUUGAAAAAAUAGGCGCCGGUCCUCAUAGGAACUAGUAGCAUGCAUCGACACCUGAUUAUAGUGUUCCUCUCUCUACUCAUAUCAAAUAUUGAGAACUCAUUCUCGUUUUAUUUUAAAAUUAUUUAGAUAUUGUGUUAUUUCAAAAAGAUUAGAGAUUGUAUAGAUAAUUUGAGAAAUUUUAUUUUUUACCAAGGUAACAAUAAAAAAAUAGUAAAUAAUAACAUAUUCAAAUCCACGUAUGCUUCUAACGGCGUUAGCCCAUUUUUCCCUGCUUGCUAAGUACUAUAUCUCUAGACUGACAAAAUGUAAAAUUGAAGAAAAGUGAAAUUAAGGACCCGUUGACAAAUGGGUUAAACCACCAGAAAGUUUUUUGUAAUUUCUCCCAAAAUAAAAUCUUAGGAUUGUUCUGAUCAUUAACGUCAUUGUAAUAACAAUUUGAUAGGAAACAAAACUAAUCUUAUGGAGUAGGAGAAAAAUUUUCCGUCUCCCUUGCUAGAUGUUACAACUAACUUUCCUACAGAGGAACAAUGGCGAUUCCAUGCUUGCUCUGUACUUAGUUCCCUGUCCAAAUUAGAAGCUAGAAUUGUUAACUUCCAAACUAUUAACAACACCCUUCACAUUCAAACCUUGCCUAGGAUUGUCUGGUAUUGUGUAGUUCAAAUUUAUUUCAGUGAGACUUAUAGUCUCACAGGGGACGCUCGAACUGCAGAGCAAUUUCACUGCAGAAUCGGAGUUGUAAGAGCCACUGGCGUUCUUCACAUAGAUGUUAGUUUUACAAGAGAGGGCUACAUGCACACAGACCAAUAAUUAAUCGUGUCUCGCUUGUGAUUUGUGAAGAGUGGCGAAGAUUUGUUUCCUAAACAUGGAUGAUUAAUUACCUUAGAAGAGUCGCAGCUGUUUGAAGGAUAAUAUUCUUGAUCGAUUGAUUACAGGGUUUGAAACAUUGAUCAUGACAAUAUUCUGGAAAGUAAUGUUAGAAGCAGUGCUUGCUGGAGAUGCUGGCCAUGUUUUUACUCGACCUCCGUUGUGAGUACCAUUGAUAGUGCAGUUCUGAACUGUAAUCCCUGUCACAUCCUCCUCAUUUGGGUACUUACCAAGGCGCCCUAUACUGGAUAUAGAGAAUGAAAGCAGUUUAGUUGCAUAUCAAGUUAUUGGAUUCUUAUGGUGUUUACAGAAGCAGGACCAUUACCUUAUUCCAUGGCCUGGACCGCACAUAACAUCAGAAAUGAAGAUGUUGGUGCUGCCAGGUCCCAUGGAGACACAAUCGUCACCCACUCCAAUGACUGAAGAAAUGACUCUGAUAUUUGUGGAAUGACUAAUGUGGAUGCCAUCUGUGUUUGGGCUAUCCCAAGGAGCUGUAAUUGUGAUAUUUUUCAUUAUAAUGUUGUUGCUGCCUUGCAAACUAACAUGGAAGGCCUUACUGUUUAUCAGGGUGACGUUGCGGAUAGUCCCAUCAGAAAUAUUAGAGAACUUUAGUGACUGAAUCAAUUCAAUCGAGAGCAGCAGAAUAUGGUUUCGUUAGUUGAAGAAAAAUUACCAACUUCUUCAACUUUGAUUAUGGACUAAUUCAAGAAAUUACAACUCACGGCAAUCAGUUCUUUGCAUCCCAUUGAAUUGCGGCAGCUGAUCUGUCUCCAGGCUUCGACAGCUCCCUGCGCAUCGAAAUUUGUCACUCCAUUGCUGCCAUAGAGAACCAUUCCAUUCAAUUGUUUGAACUCGAUCCAGUUAGAAUCAGGAAAGUCGUUCAAGCUACAAGGAGCUAUCAAAGUCCCUUCAAUCUUCACUUCCAGGGACUGGUUGUUGUAGCAAGGGCCAGCGAAUGAGAUUGGACCCACAAAGAAUUCACCCUCAGGAACGCAGAAGGUGGAGUUUCCUGCAUAACUGCAAGCGGCAUCCCAUGUGGCUAAGAAUGCCUAUUGAAAAGUAAAAAAGAAGGGAAGCGAAUCACUCCAUUCAUUAUUUAUGACAUAAGAAAUCGGAUGUUAUGGGUUUCUUUUUCUUUUAAGUUUCAAGUUUUGCAUAAGAAGGCUGGAACUGCAAAUUCUGAAGUUAAAAACACCUUGACUCUGAAAGUCAAGAACAUUCAAUUGCUGGGAUUCAUGCUUCUUGUAUUGAGUGGCAAAUUCUCAAGGAUUAGACGAUCGUACUUUGCUACUUUCUGUCUCUCCAUCAACGGUUGCUCCAUACUGAUUCACAUCAAAAACUCCCUGUUGAGGUCCUAAAGAUGAUUCAGGUGAUUCUACUGGUGCUGGAGCUGGUGCAGGAGAAUCAGCUGAAGGUCCUGGAUCCAGGUCAGGUUCUGGAAUUCUGUCUACCGCAUAACUUGCAUGAAAAACUGCAGUAUAAAGAAAAAAAAAAUACUUAUGCAGCAUGAGAUCAUUUCCUUCAUUUUCAGUAUCAGAUAGGCCUACAACUUUGAAACUUGAUUUCCAUUAAGGGCUCAGUUUUGGAGCCUUCUUCAUGUGUUUUAUGUACAUAACCCAAAGCAAGUCAAGAAACUGCACCAAUAUAUCUAUAUAUAUGCAUAUUGCUUAUUAAACGUUUAGGUAGGUUAAUUUCUGGUUGGAGUUUGUUAAACUCAUGACUGCUUUAAGUUAUUUUAUAUUUCAAAUGACGUCACAAUCUUUAUGAAUUUUAGUAGUUUCAUCAGAACUGAUGAAUUUUAGGAGUUUCAUCAGAAUUGCUAAUUUAAAAUAAAAUUGCAUUCAUAUAUUCAUUUUUAAACCCCUUUGUAUCAGGUAGGCACAUUUGAGGGGAAGGAUAUUGGAGGCGCCCAGAAUGUGAACCAACUGCCACUCUAGACAGGGAUACAGGUUGUCCUAUUUAGGAGGUAUGCUUUGUACCAGGAAAUCAUUGAAAAUAGCAUGUUUUAUUCUCAUCAUACGCAGCUUGAGGAAGCUUCAGCAAAUUAUUUUACUGAAUCUGAAUCGGAUCAAUGGUUAUGGGCAGAUGCGUCUGUAUAAGGAUCUUGAUGAGUAAUACAUAGAGAACUUUUGGUUUGGCUUAUUGGUCAGUCAAACCUACUCAUGACUGAAAAAUUGUAAGUAUAAUGGUGAAACUGGAAGCUAACAGGUUUGGAAUUCUGCAUAUAUAGAUCUCCAAAGAGAGAUUAAAAUUGUUUAAAUUUAUCUUGGAUGUUGCUAAUUCCUGUUGUUAUUAUUCCUCUGCUUUUAACAAAUUGCUGUACGCAGAGACUUGGAAUUCCCAUCGCUUCUUGCAUUUGAAGUUGUCUUUUGCAACCAAGCCAAUGUGGUCAAAAUAAAAAGCUUUUCUAACUAACCCUUUUCAACCGGUGGCGAACAGCAAAAAUAUUUUUGCAAUGAUGCUUAUGAAGUGUAUGUAAAAUUAAUUUCUAUUAGAUCCAAAAGCUCCAUCGCGUUGCACGUCAGCUCUACCAAGUGAUAAAAACGAUGCUUAAGACUGCCAAGUUAGGCCCUCAUCGGCACGGCGGUGGGAAUUGAAUGCCUGCGUAGCUUACUCUUGCAUUUUGGCAUGUAGCAGAGAGAGCUUGUUUUUUAUCACCUGUAUAUUCCAGUUUGAUGUUUGCCAAAUGAACUCUUUGACAGGGGAACUGCUUGCUGCACUCAAAAUUCACUCCAACUUCUGAGCUUGUGGUUCCCUUGAUGUUUAUGUAUUUAACAUCGCUGAUCCGUACCUUUGAUGGCUGCACGUAAACAUGGAAUAAUUAUCAGUUUUAUUUCCUUAUUAAGUGGUAAAUGAUUAAGUCCAAGAAGACCAACCUUAUUUGAGUUAGAUCCGUAGGACUGAUCAAUAAUGAUGGGGUUUCUAACGUUAUGCAUAACGAUGUCCUGGAAAGUCAAGGCUGUUGCUUGGCUUGGAGGUGAUCCUGCCCAUGUUUUGAUUCUGAUUCCAUUUUCGGUGUUCCUUAGCGUGCAGUUUGUCACAAGGAUGCCUUUCACAUCCUUCUCAUCUGGGUACUUCCCAAGACUACCAAUACUGUUGUGGAUGUAUAAACAUGUUAAGAUUAUAGAAACCCAUAAAACACUGCCAGUAUCUCCCACACUUAUUUAAAAUGUUGAAUAGAGAUUUACCUGAUGCCGUGUCCGGGACCACAGGUCACUUCCUUGAUGCUAAUGUCGGUACUUCCUUGAAUCAUUCCGACACAAUCAUCUCCAGUAGCAAUGACACUUGUAGCUAUUUUAACUUGAUUGGAUUGGCUGAUAUGGAAACCAUCAGUGUUGGGGCUAUCUUCAGGAGCUGUUAAAUGGAGACUUUUGGCUGUAAUAUUCUUGCUGAGAACAAUCCCGAUGUGGAAUCCCAUGGGGUUAACAGAACUGACUUGCCUUAUAACUCCAUCUCUCACACGAUGGAACUUAAUGGACUGCGCCAGGAGAAAAUAGCAAAAGAAACAAGAACCAUUAUGAAUUUCAACCCAAAUUUUAUUAAUGACCGUAAAGAAAAUCACUGAUAAUGAAAAAAGGUUCUAAUAGUUUAGUUGCUUACUGCUGGAAAAACUCUGCCUCCGUCUCCGUGAUCGUUAUAUUUCCAUACAUUAGGGCCUUGGCCAUCGACGGUGCCAGUUCCAGUAAUCACCAAGCCAUUUACAUUUCGGAAUAUCAUCCAAAAAUCUUCUGCAUAGCUGCUCAAAUUUGAUACUGCCUUGAGAGUUCCUACAAGUUGAAAAACAGUGGGAGCUUUAUUUUUGCAUGGUCCGCCAAAAACCAUGGAAGAGGCUACGAAAGCCCCCUUCGGGACAAGUACCCUUGCCUUCCCUUUCCAGUUGCAUGCAGCAUUCCAUGCCUGAAUAAAAGCCUGUAAUGAACAAACCCGAAAACUUAAGUUGUUUUCAGUGAACUUGGCCAAUUAUUGUAUUACACUAUGCAUGGGACAAGUUACAGAGUGAAGUCUCUCUCUUACUAGUGCAUUAUCCUUUUCUGGAUCAGUUUUUGCACCAAAUUGUACGACGUUGAAGAUUUUUUCAUUGGAGUAUCUUCUACGACCGGGGCGUAUGGAACUGCGCUUAUCACAAGAGGCCAACGCUACGCAAAAGAGAAGAAUGGCAUUUGGCAAGAGUUUCUUUGUUAUGGCCAUUGCCAUUCUUCUUCAAAUCCAAUCUGUGGGAUUCUUCCACUUCUCUCUGUAAGAUAAAGAAUUAAGAAGCCCCGAUAUUACGAGGCUUAAUCAAUGCGAUUGUGACUUCUCUUUGUAAGCAUCAUCUUUAUAGCAUGGAUUUUGCAAAACAGAGUGAUGCAGGAUAAAAGCUAUCGUAGGAUAUUUUUUAUUAGUUGUUUGUUUGGUUGCAUCUUUGCCAUGAUAGAUUCACCUUCCUAGCAUUUAGGAACAAUAAGCUCUCUGUCUGUGUUGUUAAAAACUAUCUGCUGCUUCUCCGUUUUAGGCUCUCCAUUUUGGCCACCUAUUUAACACCGGCAUUGCAGUAAACAAUUACAAGACGCAAUUUCUUCCAGGUUUAGAGGAGGAUUUUCUGGCUUAAUUCCAGAGCCAACACCCAAAUGAUGAGACUCAAUGUGUAACAAAUAAGGCGAAUGGUCCGGCGAUAAGGUUUCUGUCAUGGUUUACAGUUCCUACUUCCUAGCUAGCUCACAUAUCAAUGACAAAGAUUGUCUUUCUAGUCCUGCUAAGUUUGUUGUCAACCAACUCUAAGUGCAUAAAAUUGCGGACACAAAUACACUAAUCAGAAAUCAAUUUCAUCGCAUUGAGGUGAUAUUCAGCCAAGCUUGUGUGCAGUAUAUCUAUAUCCACCUUCCCUGUUUGGUUAAAAAUGUGCCAUGAACUAACUUUUCCAUCUUCCCUGUUGAAUUUCUAGACGUGGAAAGUGCUUGGCCAUUUAUGUUUCUUCCUCUUUCUUAUUCUCCUCAAACUGGUUUUGAGUUGGACUAUGUCUUUAUUCUUGGUGAUUCUCUUAUAUAUUUCUUUUUCAAUUUUAUGAAAUUGUAACUCAUGGGGAAAAGAAUUUGGCCUAACUUGUAAAUGGGUUUUCAAUAACCUUACCUGACUUACCUUCCAUUCUGAUCAUAUUUAUCCAAUUUUAAGCCAACAACAACACAAAAAAAAAUCUCAAAUUUUCAGGAAGCUUUUUCCCCCAAAAUAAUUUAAAUAUAAAUAAAGUCUUGCCUUGGUCUGAAAGGAUUCAGUUACAAGUGUAAAUGAAUAUUCUCUAUAUGGACAUAAACUUCACAAAUGUUUAAUCAAAUAUUUAGAUUAAAAUUUGUAUAAAAUGAUGAACUUGUAUAUAAUAAAUAUAUGAAUUUAGAUAUAGAUAUUUAAUUUAAUUUAACGAUUAUUAAAUGCAGUUUAUCCAAAAAAAAAAUAGAAAAUAAAUAUUGCAAUCUAUAACUUUUUUAAGAAAUAAUGAUUAUAGUUGUCAUAAGAAAAAAUUUUGAGAAUGAAUUUUGAUUUUAAAUGGAUUUAAAGUAAAGAUAUAGAAGUUUUAGUUUGAGUUAUAACAAGCAUACUACGGAUUUUAAAAACCUUAUGCUAGCAUAAUUCUUAGUACCAUAAUGAAAUUACAAAAUAAAAUAUUCAUGAUUUAUCUUUAACUUAAGAUUUUCAUCAUACCAUAAAGAAAUUUAAAAGAAAAAAAUAGAAUGAUUUGAAAAGUAUUUGUAAGAACUUAAAAAGCUUGAGAAUAUAUGCAUAUAUGCCUAUCCUAUCCUAUGUACAUCUGAAGAACCUUAUCCAUAUAUAACUGAUUCAGGUUUAAUGCAUUUCAGUCGAGCAACUGUUGCUUGACUUGUCCUAUUAACUGCCUGCAAGUUUCCCCAUUCUUGCAUAAAGCAUCCAUACAAAAGCCACGGUAGACGCAUAAAGUGAAGAUGAGAAUGAUGAAAUGUUGGACGCGGAUGCAACAUCCACUUGCAUCCACAAGUGCAUGAAAUAAUUUUAAGUAAUAAAUAGGGUAGAAUAUUAUUUUCACAGUAUAUAUUAAAAAUUAAGUAUUAAAAUAUUUAUAAAUUUAAUUAUUAAUUAUGAAUGAUGAUUAUAAAUUUAAAAUAAAAUAAGAAAAUAAAAUUAAACAGUAAAAUUUUUAAAACCAUUAAUAUUAAAUAUUAAGUACUUUGAUUUCAUUUAAUUUAAUUAAUUUAUUUAACAAUUUAAUUUUAGUUAAAGUAAUACCAAAUUAAUUAAUUAAAUAUCAUAUAAUUUUAUUUCACUCUUAAAAUAAUAUAAUAGUUGUAUAUGAAAUGUUUUUUUUUUUUUCAAAAUUAGGAAACCCAGGAUACUCAUACCCCUAACUCGUCAGUGAUCGAAACCCAUGAAAUAAAGAAGGUAAAUUCAUGCCUGUUUCACAGUAAUUGAGCUGUGUAUGUUAUAUUAACAUUGAUCAUAAAGUAGAGCCCAUAAUAGAUAAUUAAUUAUCUAAGUAAUUAACAAGUAUAUAUAGAAAAUACAACCCUCUUGCUGCAUUGUUUCUUUUUCUCUAAUAACAGCAUAUAUCGGCAUAGGAUGAUUUUAGCUCCAUGCAAACUUAGCAAGCUAUAUCGACAGCCUAAUACUCACUGCAUUCUAACUGUUAAUAUGCUAUAAGAGGCUUAUUAAUUAACAUGACCACAUACAAAGCAUCCCUCAGCAUCUUGACACUAUCUCCUACCUAUGUUUGAAACCUAGUCACUAUCUGUUAAUUAGGGUUGCCAUGCUCUCUCACUGCCAUGCCUGUAUAGUAGUGUUGAGCUAUCUCGCAGUUGCUGGUGACGACUGACAUUCUUACAGUUGAAAUUUGAGGCCCACGAUAAACUAAUGGCUGUUGAUAUUGGCUCUGAUAAUUGUUUUGAAGCUUGCUGCUUGUUCGACCAUAAGCCUCGUCUAUUAAAGCAAAGCCUUCAUUUCCAAUCCUGGCAAGGCGAUUUCUUUGAAGCCUGUUGAUCUCAGAUCUAUCGCCUCUGCUGCCUCGACCAUAACCCUCAUCUAUUAGAGCAAAGCCUUCAUUUCCGAUCCGGGCGAGACGAUCUAAUUCAGAAGAUGCCAUAAUUAGUUAUUGAUAUGUUGGUUUCUUCUCCUUGCUAACUAGUGUUGUGUGUUUUGUUUGCGUUGCUUGAAAUGGGUUGAUGCAGGAGCUCAUUAUAUAGAGCUCAGUGAACCACUGCCUUUAGCUUCCGAUUUUUUCAUCGUUGCCAAAGUUGAAUCAAUCUAUCAACAUCUUAUCGCUAUCUUUUUGCAUCUUC